UUACCUAGGUGAUACAAAAUCUUACAAUCGUAGUUCUUGAGGAGCUCUAUCUAAUACCUCUGACACAUGUUGAGAUCCUUUUAGGUGAAUAUAUACUUUAAACUCUUAUAGUCUGUAUAAAUUUUGAAAUAUCUCUCCAUAUAAGUAGUGGCACCAGGUUUUUAAAGCAUGAAUAAUGGUGGUAAGUUCUAAGUUGUGGGUGAGAUAUUCUUUUUAUGAGUUUUAACUGCCUGAACCUAUAGGCUAUGACAUUUUCAUGCUGCAUCAGAACACAAU
rnacentral:lncRNA from 1 species